UACAGAGGUCUCAAGCGUUGUUCGGAUUCAUUGGGCGUAAAGGGUGCGUAGGUGGCGCUGUAAGUCGGGUGUGAAAUUUCGGGAGCUUAACUCCGAAACUGCAUUCGAUACUGCGGUGCUUGAGGACUGGAGAGGAGACUGGAAUUCAUGGUGUAGCAGUGAAAUGCGUAGAGAUCAUGAGGAAGACCAGUGGCGAAGGCGGGUCUCUGGACAGUUCCUGACACUGAGGCAACGAAGGCCAGGGGAGCAAACGGG
rnacentral:rRNA from 1 species